CACAUCCAGGACCACUCCUUCUGAGGGCCGGCU
rnacentral:sRNA from 1 species